GGUGAGUAACACGUGAGCAACCUGCCCCACAGACCGGGAUAGCCCAGGGAGACCUGGAUUAAUACCGGAUACCCUCGACCGACCUCAUGGUCUAUCGAGGAAAUGCCUUUGUGCUGUGGGAUGGGCUCGCGGCCUAUCAGCUAGUUGGUGGGGUAACGGCCCACCAAGGCAUCGACGGGUAGCUGGUCUGAGAGGACGAUCAGCCACACUGGGACUGAGACACGGCCCAGACUCCUACGGGAGGCAGCAGCAGGGAAUCUUGCGCAAUGGGCGAAAGCCUGACGCAGCAACGCCGCGUGGGGGAUGAAGGCCUUCGGGUUGUAAACCCCUUUCAGGAGGGAAGAAAUUGACGGUACCUCCAGAAGAAGCACCGGCCAACUACGUGCCAGCAGCCGCGGUAAUACGUAGGGUGCAAGCGUUAUCCGGAAUCAUUGGGCGUAAAGAGCUCGUAGGCGGUUCAGCAAGUCGGCUGUGAAAGUCCGAGGCUCAACCUCGGAAUUGCAGUCGAUACUGCUGUGACUCGAGUCCGGUAGAGGAGAAUGGAAUUCCCGGUGUAGCGGUGAAAUGCGCAGAUAUCGGGAGGAACACCAGUAGCGAAGGCGGUUCUCUGGGCCGGC
rnacentral:rRNA from 1 species